GAUGCGGCUGAAGUUGUGCAGGGUCCGGUUCCAGCGGAGCUGCGCGGCCGCCUCCGACGGGCUCUCGAGGGCCGAGAAGACGGUGGCGCCGGCGCUCAGCUGGGAUCCAGUCCUCAGCAUGUUCCCAGAAGUACUUGCCUUGCUGCAGCAGAGCGUGGUGAAGAGUGGGGGAGGAAUGUCUGUCUGGGAGCCCGGAGUCCUGAAUCUCGUGAUGCUACUGAGACAACAAUGAUGGGAAUGAGUCCUCCUUACAUUUCAUGUCCCUUCCUGCAUUUGACAGGUACGUGCUGGCUGAUGGUCCUCUGAGACCAUUUACCCUGCUAAACUUUUCCUAAGCAGGUUCCACUUGUGACUAGGCAACUUCAUACAAUUUGGUUUGUUCUCAAGGACGUGUGGAGUCAAAGCGUGUGGCUGAACACUGUGCUCUGGUUCUCAUGCAGGUAUCAGGACUGCUGAUAUUUUUGGGAGCAUUAGCAUUCAUCACAUUAGCAUUAGCAUUCAUCACACAUUUAUUGGUACCUGACCCAAGGCUCCUGGCAGUGACUGGCUGGUGUGUUUCCUGGGCCGUGGUUCAGAUGAGACAUAUGUGUGAGUGUGUGCAUGUGUGUGCAUGCAGAUAAUUUCCCUUGCAUUAAUAAAAAAAGUGACCCUACAGUUGGUUGAUCAUUAGUGUAUCCAUCCAAUGUAUGGCAACUUGUGUUGAAUAACCAACUUUACACAAGAUCUCAUGUUCACUCCCUCCUCUCUCUUUUGUUGAGCAUUGCUAAGUGGAAGAGUGGAUCAUUUUCUGAGUUGCUUCCCUGCUCCUGUUCACCUUCUGACAUGCAGCAGGAUAAAUAACAGCAUUCUCCAACCAGUUGGCCUCAUCCUCCCUCCUGGCCUUGAAAAUCUGUGAAUCUGAAACAAAGAGGAUGAAGAAGGAUUUCUGCUUGUGUCAGGAAAACCCUUUUAUUUUUCAGUGUUAAUAUUUCUAAUUUACAUUUACUGCUUUCCAAGCCUGGGGGUUUAAAAACGAUGUGGAACUGCAACUAUGAACCCUCCCUUCCCAUAUAUUGGGACAAGCAGCUAUUUAUAGCUUUUGAUUUGCACUUGGAGGAAGAACCAUAAAUAUUCCUCACUUCAGCAGGAAAAUGGUUCAAGCAAUAUAAAAAGAGUGCAUAGGAAUGGCAUAGGACUCAGGCUGUGUUGAUUAUGCUGUUUCAGCUAAGAUUUAUCUAUUAGAGGUUUUUGAGACUGGUACAGUCUUAUCUUCAUUUAAAGAUAGCACAGCCCUUUGGAGCCAGUUGUUAAGACUUACAUCAUUAACAGAAUGGUGUGCAAUAGAUGCUCUGUGAAAACAACUCAAUUCCUUGGCUUUAUGCUCCUGUGUGUUUUAGGAAGAGACCAGAGCCUAAAAUCACUGAUGUGAAAAUUUGCAUUGUAUGACUAUGUCUUUGGGGGACAUGAUAAUCAUUUGUGAUACCACCUUUUAGCGAGUCAUCUGUAAUGAGGAGAGAGGGAGAAGGGCUGUAAUUGUUCUGUGUGUUUGUUUAAAGAUUCUUCAAAUACAUAAUUGAUAAAAUACAAUCUCUCAUGAUCAUGUGUAAUUUUACAGCGUUAAAAAUAACUAUCAGAAUACAUCUUUCAAUAGCUUUUACAGUUUUUUUAUUUUAACAUACCUGGGUAGGAGUUUCAUAAGUGGCUUGUUGAUGUUGUGGUUUUGAUGGCUCCAAGGAGAAUGUGAAAGUUCUCUUCCCUGGUCAGAAUUUCUCAAGACAUUAUUUAUUCAUAUAAUGAACCUAUUCUCGGUAUUUCUAUUGCACACAGUUUCCAGUGGAAAUAAAUGUUCUUCAUUCCAGUCAACCGAAAUGCAAACAGUAUUUUAAAUUAAAUAUAGUUACUAAUUUUAAAA